rnacentral:snRNA from 9 species
AUACUUACCUGGCGUAGGGAUACCGUGAUCAUACAGGAGGUUUCCCCAGGGUGAGGUUGCUCCAUUGUUCUGCGGAGUGGUUGUCCCAUGCGAUUAUUUUUUAUAACAUUCACUUCUGCAGUGUGCGACUCGCACAUUUUUUUCCUAC